UGUACAAACAGUUAUAACAGAAACACAAACCAUUUAUGAUACCAGCUGAGAGGAUGACCUUGAAACAGCUUCGUUCACAGCAGACAGAUGGCGCGCGAGUACUGACUCCUGCUUCGGAAAGUUCAUGUAUGUUAGCACGUUGUUCAUCUAGGUUAUUUAUGGUUCACUAGCAAAUAUUUCACUUAGCAAUGAGGAUACGUAAGGGUGUACAAGUGUGUGGUCUGUGUGCGCAGGAAGUGGUGAUGCUGCUAAUGCAAGUGGGUAGAAAGACUUGUGAUCAUAUUCUGAAACAUUCUACGCCACACCUCAUUCAAAAGGCUCUAGCUAAAGUUACACGUGUUUCUAAGAGUGCUUUCAUGGUUCUCGCGACAGAUAUACGAGAUUUCUACAUUAUCAGCAGGAGAAACAGUCUUGAGAACCUGGCUAAUUAUCUCUCUGGCCUUUGAAAGUGGUCGACUUAAGAGAGCAAAGCGUUUCAGAUUACGGGAUUGAACCAGUGAAGAAGGAGGAGGAGGAGGGAGAAGAGUGGGAGAGACUUGAGAUGAGGUACGGACCACCAGGCUGCUUAUCUCCAGUCCGUGUCCGUGUUUUGUGUAGUGUACGUGGCUUAGUGGACGAAGAUGAAUGAGAAGUAGUAGUAGUAGUAGUAGUAGUAGUAGCAAGAGGAAGAGGACUAAGAAGAUUCAAGAGAAGGAAAUAAUUACGAGAAAUGCAUCAGAAACAGUGGCUGCAGGAUCGGGAUCACAUGGAGGCCUUUCUAACCACCACCACCACCACCACCACCACCACAACCAGAAGUACUAAGGACAAAGCGUGUCUCCAGGAUGCGAGGGGCGGUGGCAGCCACGGAAGCCCCUGGAGCGGCGCCCUGCUUGGCGGGCGGCGGCCCUGCUGUCGUGGGCGAGGCGCUGAGCUGUUACCGAGUCUCGACGCGGCACCAGCUCGCUGCUUGGCCGCGGCGGCGGCAGACUCCCGCGGCGGAAGUUUUAAUUGGUGUUCGACAGGAAGGGAAGAGUGUGCCGUGCCUCGCGUGACUGAUGGCCGUGUGGGAGAGUGAUUGGCUGCUUACCGGCUAACAGCUCACGUGAUGCCGACUCAUUUCACAGAUUUGAUAGCCUAGUU